UGGGGAAUAUUGGACAAUGGGCGAAAGCCUGAUCCAGCCAUGCCGCGUGUGUGAAGAAGGCCUUUUGGUUGUAAAGCACUUUAAGCGAGGAGGAGGCUACUUGGAUUAAUACUCUAGGAUAGUGGACGUUACUCGCAGAAUAAGCACCGGCUAACUCUGUGCCAGCAGCCGCGGUAAUACAGAGGGUGCGAGCGUUAAUCGGAUUUACUGGGCGUAAAGCGUGCGUAGGCGGCUUUUUAAGUCGGAUGUGAAAUCCCUGAGCUUAACUUAGGAAUUGCAUUCGAUACAGGGAAGCUAGAGUAUGGGAGAGGAUGGUAGAAUUCCAGGUGUAGCGGUGAAAUGCGUAGAGAUCUGGAGGAAUACCGAUGGCGAAGGCAGCCAUCUGGCCUAAUACUGACGCUGAGGUACGAAAGCAUGGGGAGCAAACAGG
rnacentral:rRNA from 1 species